UUUACCCGUGAACAAACUCAUUAGUAUUGCCAAGGUCGAAUGAUUACUUGGGGUAAUUCUUGAAUAAGCGACUUUUCUUAUUCAGUUCACCUUUCAUUCCAACCUUGUAUCAUUCCAACCUUGUACAGCUUGUCUUCCCCCCAAUUCCAUUGUCAACUGAUUACCCUAAAACCCCAUAAGCUAUUUACAGUAAAAGAAAAGAAAACCCCAGAAGUUGGGUUUAAGCUUGAAGUAGAAAUCUUGAAGAACCCCAUUUCCGGUGAGUUUCCAUCUUUUAAUUUUCUAUUUAUGGUAAUUGAGCUUCUUGUACGUGCUUUCCUUUCAGUUUUGGUGGUAAUUUCUGCUUCAGUUAGAUGACGUAAAAUUUUAAGGUAAAUUUGUUUUGACUUUGUUAUAUUUUAGUAAAUAAAAAAUAAAAAUACGAGGGCAAAAGUGUCCAUCAAAUGUUUUCCACACAUCCACACGUUUCAUAUACAAUAGAUGUAGAUGUAGAUUUUUAUUCAGCUCAUAUUUGAAUUAUCGAAAUUAAUUUCAAAAUAUUGUAAGAAUAAUAAAAUAAAUAAUUUAAAAUCAAUGUUGAACAAACCUUAAAAUAUAGACACAACCCAUUUUUUAGCCCCUGUUUGAUUUUCAUUCUUUGGCCAUGAAAAUGAAAAAUAUGAUCGUUAUUCAUUACAUCAAGUCAUCAUAUUUGACUUUCUACUUUUGAGUGAGUUCCGUAAUGACUAUAUUUUUCAUUCUCAUUCUUAUAAAAAUAGGUGUCAAACGGAGGUUUAAGAUGAAAACAAAAAUAACUUGGUUAAGUGCCCUCCGGGACACAGCUCAACUGGUUGAUCAAUCAACAUUUGUCUUGCUUCUAGCGAUGGGGUGGAGGUUCGAAUCUUGGUGGGAACCUGCGGUCAGAUUUAUUUGAUAUGGAGCAAACACUUUUGAGAAGGAUCUCUUGUGCGCAGAAGUGUACAGGUGGUGGGGGAACCUGUGAUCCAGUUGAGACAUAAUUUGCGAUUUACCCCCUUCAAGUAUCUAGGGACAAGGAUCUUGGGGGUCCAAGAUCUAGUUUAGUGUAAGUUGGAAUAUCUGGAUAUCAAAAAAAAAAAAAAAUUGUUUUAGUUAUCCUAUGUCUUAGUCUACCCACAGAUGCCAACAAAUUAUGUAUACGAUCUAUCUUGUCUUCAACUUUACCCGUGAACAAACUCAUUAGUAUUGCCAAGGUCGAAUGAUUACUUGGGGUAAUUCUUGAAUAAGCGACUUUUCUUAUUCAGUUCACCUUUCAUUCCAACCUUGUAUCAUUCCAACCUUGUACAGCUUGUCUUCCCCCCAAUUCCAUUGUCAACUGAUUACCCUAAAACCCCAUAAGCUAUUUACAGUAAAAGAAAAGAAAACCCCAGAAGU
rnacentral:lncRNA from 1 species